rnacentral:other from 1 species
AUCCCUGCGUGGUACGAGAAAUAGGUAUUUUAGAACCAACAUAUAAGGAAAGGGAGCUCGGGCUCUAAAUAUGGCGUGCAAGCUUAUACUUUUAUAAUAAGAAGCCCAGAAGUAUUUAGGAGGGCACCCACCUGCAAGGAGCAGGUCCUUAAAAUCCCUAUAAGAAACGGCCAAGGCGGGGAU